ensembl:lncRNA
GCAGAAAUUCCAUAAGGGAAAAUACAAGUUUUAUUGGGCUGAUGUCAUGUAAAUAUUAUCAGAUUUAUCCCUCCUACAUGAAAUAAAUAUCUAAAGGCAUUUCCCGUGUCUUUUAAUAAAAAGACAGUCUAUUGAGUUUAAUAGACAGCCUAUUGAGUUUAAUUACAGAUGUUAUUUAAAACAAUUAUAUCAGAGAUGAAAUGGCCAAUCAACUAUAAGAGGAAUUACUAAUUGAUGAUUCCCUUACCAUUCUCUCUGUUGGGCUUUGUAGGGUUGAAGUUCUUCCACCCAGUCAUACUCUGCCCCAAAAUCUACUCUAUGGCAAUUAGAUACUGCUCGUUGGAAAGAAAGAAAUACAGGGAGAAAUGUGACUCAGGUGGAGAUUUUCUACCAACUUUGGAUUACUAUCUUGGGAGGAGGUGGGUGGGUUCUUCUCUGGUAAUAAGAAGGAUGCAAUGCAAAAUCUAAAUGACCAUCUCACAGUUUACGUGUACAAGGUCUGAACUCUGGUGCAGGCAAAGAGUACAGUUGAAUAUAAAAUCAAAGAAUGGAAGAAGAAUUUGAGCCUGGGGCUAAUGAUCAAGGAGAAAAACAGGACUACAAGAAGUAUUAUCAGAUAACUACGGAACAUAAAAACAAGGCAAACUUCACUCCACUCUCAGAAAACAGCUCUCAAAGCCAAGUUGACCGAAUCAAAGGCCAAGCACCAGCCUUGGGUAGAGAUGAGUGCCUGGAGACCCAGCUCCUUCAAGGGCACCGUGAGACCGAGGACCAGAGCCAGGCUAAACGCAGCUGCUGAAGGUCCAGGCAUGGCUGGAGAAUGAAGCUCGGACCAACCACCACCUGCUCAUGAAUGGCAGGUAGAGAUUUCCACCCAAGUAACAGAAACUUUCCCAAGUACCAAGGAAUAAUCAUGAAAACCAUCACUGAUAAUACUCUCUCAACACAUUUUCUUAUCACUUCCCUGUUGUGGAUUUGUCCUUCUUAAUUGACUACUCGUUUUUUGAGCUAAUUUGAGAGCUUUGGGUUUUAUUCCCCUAGUUUUGACAUUGACUUUCAUCAGUGUCACAGGUGUGAGAUCUUUCUCGUUUCUGCCAUUCUUUUCCUCCCCUUCCUCUCUCAUCACAUUUUGCAUUUUUCCUCCCACUCUUCAUAGAGAGAUUUUGAGUAGCUGAUUGUGUGUGUGUGUGCACGCGCACGCGCGCGUCUGUGUGUGUGUGUUGUGUACUGGGGUCAUGAUGUAAAAUGAUGCCUUUGUUCUUGUGGCUUGCAGUGGGAAAAGUUAUGACCUUUGCAAUAGAGGUGUCUUUAUUUUUCCUUUCAGUUUUCACUUGAACUUAAUUGUAUGAAAUGAAUUGUGGGCCAGGCAUGGUGGGUCAUGCCUAUAAUCCCAGCACACUAGGAGGCCGAGGCAGGUGGAUCGCCUGAGGUCAGGAGCUCGAGACCAGCCUGGCCAACAUGGUGAAACCCUGUCUCUACUAAAAAUACAAAAAUUAGCUGGGGGUGGUAACAUGUGCUUAUAAUCCCAGCUACUUGGGAGGCUGAGACAGGAGAAUCACUUGAACCCUGGAGAUAGAGGUUGCAGUGAGCAGAGAUCACACCACUGCACUCCAGCCUGGGUGACAGAGCAAGACUCCAUCCCCCUGCCAAAAAAGAAAUGGAUUGCAAAUCUGUUUGCUAUCGUUCUUGAUGUCACUUCCUUCUCUAUGACUGAGAAUUCAUUGCCAUUCCUAGAAGGAUUCAAAUCCUUCAUUUUUUGAGCAAAUUUCACUAUAUACCACUUUCUUGCCUCUAUCAUUGCAAUGCCUCUCUACAUAGGACUAGCUGUAUUAUAACAAGGAUAACGAAGGCAACUACCCUUUAUGGAGCACUUACUAUGUAAACAUAAUUCCCACAGCAAUUCUGUAGAUGGCGCAUGAUCCCCAUUGCACAGAUAAGGAAACUGAAGGUCAGUAACGUUAACUGGUUCACCCAUGAUCACAAAGCUCAUCUGGGGCAGAAUGAGCCAAGAUCAAAUCCUUUGAGGUUCCAGAAUUUCAAGUGACAGUCUCAUUCCCAUUUCUCAUCCUCUCAACACUUUGUGAAGUGAGUACUCCUAUUAUCCCCAGUUUACAGACAAGAACACUAAAAUUUUCCUGAGUUAUACAGUAACUUGGGAAGAGUUAGGAUUCAAACCAAGGCAGUCUGGUUUCAGUUUUUGUGCUUUUAAUCAUAUGCUCUACUGACUUUAUUCCUUUACUCUUUUUUAGUGUUUCAUUGAAAAAUAAUAUACAUACCAAAAUCACAUAUAUGAUGAGUAAAACAGCUGGAUGAAUUUUCACAAACUGAACAUACUAGUGUAAAUCAGCUUCCAGCUCAAGAAAUAGAACACUGUCAGAAACCUCAAAGCCUCUCUCAUUUUCCCAUCCAGACAUUAACACCUCCUGAGGGCAACUGCUCUCCUAACCUCUAGCACCAUACAUACAGUUUUGAUUAUUUUCAACCAUACACAAAUUGAAUCAUGCAAUAUGUUCUUUUUUUUUUUCUUAAGCUGGCGUCUUGCUCUGUCACCUAAAUUGGAAUGCAGUGGUUCAAUCCCCACUCACUGUAACCUCCACCUCCAGGGUUAAAGCAAUUCUCCUGUCUUAGCCUCCCAAGUAGCUGGGAUUACAGGCAUGUGCUACCACGCCCAGCUAAUUUUUGUAUUUUUAGUAGAGAUGGGGUUUCACCAUAUUGGUCAGGCUGGUCUCAAACUCCUGAUCUCAGGUGAUCCACCUGCCUCAGCCUCCCAAAGUGCUGGGAUUACAGGCAUGAGCCACCCCGCCCAUCCCUGAAUCAUGCAGUAUGUUCUUUUUUGUGUCUGGCUUCUUUCCCUCAAUAUGUUCUGUGCGUGAUUCAUCCGUGCUACUGAUUGGUUGUAGAUCAUGUUGUGUCUUUAAUAAACACCUACAUUAGGUGUUAGAGAUACAAAGAUAUGGUUCCUCUCAGAGAAUUUAGUCUAGAAGAAGGAAAAAUAGAUGUGGUUAACAUAAAUUAUUAACUCCAAUUCUGACUGCGUUUUAUCCAAAUCACUCCAUAUUUGUGAAGCUUUAGAAAAGCAAAGACUAAAAUCAAUGAGAUUUAUAUGCUUAUCUUUCUCACUAUUGAAAGUAGGUAAAAAAGUUAAUAAGGGCUGGGCAAGGUGGCUCACAUCUAUAAUCCUAGCACUUUGGGAGGCCAAUGUGGGAGGAUCACAAGGUCAAGAGGUCAAGACCAUCCCAGCCAACAUGGUGAAAUCCUGUCUCUAUCAAAAAUACAAAAAUUAGCUGGGUGUGGUGGCACGCACCUGUAGUCCCAGCUACUCAGGAGGCUGAGGUAGGAGAAUCACUUGAACCCAAGAGGUGGAGGUUGCAGAGAGCAGAGAUUGCACCACUGCACUCCAGCCUAUUGACAGAGAGAGACUCCAUAUCAAAAAAAAAAAGUUAGUAAGUACCCAAUAAGAGAGCUGUCUUACUUUUGAUUAAAGAGAAAUGCUUUAUCAGUUUACUUCAUUUCCAUCAAUAUGUAAUUGACAUACCAUUUUUUUUCACAGAACUAAUGAAAUGUUUUGGUACAAGACAAUUGUUUAAAAACUGGUUGAUGGCAUUGUUGUUUUAUCACAAAUGAGAGAUGUUCACCAAAGACCAGUUUAAGGAACACCACACAAGUUAGCCACAAAAACUAAGACAAAUGAAGCACCAAGAACCAUUUAACCUAAGUCAUGUAUGUUGGAUAACCGAUGCAAUGCAUAGAGUCAAACUUAACAAAAGCCAUGAAGAUGAAGGGAUGUAGUUCAACAAUGCUCGCCUUUUAACAAUAGGAAAUAUAAAAGCCAGCAGGAUAUUUAGGGAAUGUUUUUGUUCAUCUGCAAUAGAGUCAUAUGAAUAUACUCAUCUACAUUUUGGAAUUAUUUUAAUCUUUGUGGACUUAACAAAAUUGCGUAUACUUCUAAUUCGGAAGGUCUAACCUUGCAGUUUUUAGCUCUGGUCUGAAGCAAUCAAUGAGUGCUUGGCUGAGCACUCCAGACAGUAAACAAUAAGAGAAAAAUACUCCCUUCUAGAAGGUACAGCCCAUCUGGAGAUGUGGGAGAUACUCCUGAAAGAAUUGAAUGGCAUCAGAAUAUCAUAUAGAACUAAAAGUAGUAAGUAGCAGAGACGAUAAGUGCCACAGGAACUCACAGAUAAU